ensembl:lncRNA LINC01010 long intergenic non-protein coding RNA 1010
AAUCUAUCUGGUCAGAUACUUAGUACCUAGAUGUGGAGACCAUAUCUCACAGUUCUGUCAGGCAGGAGCAGUCCAAACACUUUGAUUAUCAGCUGUCUCUUGCUCGGGAAAUUACUAGGUACCAACACUGUUAUAUAUGCAGAGGUGUCUGAAAAAUGAAUGCAGAUCAAUUUCCAGUUCCACACAGAGCACAUCUGUAAAAUAUGACCUUUGGAUAAUGGCUGGAGUGUUUACCUGCAGUAUUCGUUUUUGCAUGUGGCUUUCCCUAGAUAUGUCAGGAUACAGCAGGACCAAAACCUAGCCUUUGUCCUAUGUCUGGAGACUUCUUGGAAGCUGGAGCACACAAAUAGCUACAGCAAACUUGAGGAAUGGGCAUGAAUAGACUGGCUUCGGGGAACCUGCCAGCUUGGCCGUGUGGCCAAGGUAAUAGGCAAGCCAAGGCAGAGCUAGAGCUCAGAGCUGGAGGGGAAAUUAAAGCAGCAAAUGUAGAAACAUUAAGCCUGAAGAGGCGACGACGUUGAAUUCUAAAAUGCAGGCCAAAGCUCAGACUGCAAGCUGUCUGGCUGCUCCGGGUGUGCCCAGAAGUCAAAGUCCAGCAGGGGCAAAGGUGGAGGUGUGGUCCUGCACGUGGGGUGUUGGGGGGAUGUGGAAGAGGAGGUGCUUUAAGAUCCAGAGAUUCCAGCUGCCCUGGUGCACCCUUGGAAGAAUAAAAGGCUAGGAACUGGACAAGUCAGGCUCGAGUCCAAGCUGCCUGAGGAAUCGGGGAAAGAAUGGAGCUCAGAGUGGGAGGUCAGGGCAGUAUUUAAAAAUCCAGGAUAGCAGCAAAGCUGGCGGUGGCCCCUGACUCUGGUAAGGGCAGCCUGCAGCACCAUGCCAAGGGGGGCCUGACUGAUCAUGCCCUGCAUUUGCAAACAAGGAUUAGUAGGGUAUGAGUAGGAUUCUGCUGGUGCCUGGGAAGGCAGUGCCAUCUACAACUUUACAAAGUUUUAACAAAGGCCUGAAGGACACAACCUUCCCCAAAGUCCUGACGUCGCUGUUUGCUGGCAACAAAUAGAGUCAAAAGAAGAGAGGCACAGAAUGUGCCAGGGGUGUGCUGCGUACAGCCCCGAUGACCACAAGGCCUUCUUGGGUCAAGUUCUGCCAUCUCUGGUUAAGAUGGGCUCACCCUCUAGGACCCUGAUUGAGUCCUCGGACCACCAAGAGUGCCCCACCAAGAGCCUCCCUCUUCUGGUGACUCGUGCCUGCUUCCCGUGGAGAGCUCCAGAAGGGAGGAAACUGUGAGGAGGUGGAGAACGUGGCAGGGAUCCUAACUUUCUUACUGAAGGAAGUUCUUCACAAGUACCCAUCUGCCUUCAGGGAAGAAAACAUAACUCAUUUUGGUCUUUCAAAUUCAGUUCUCAAAACCAAAUCCUGUUGUCAGCAAUCUGUGUCCCAACGCCUUCUUCAGCAACAGCAUUUUCCCUGUGGAAUUAGUUUCCAAUGUUCUUUCUUAAAUAAACCACUGAAGAUUAAAAGGAAUCCAGAUACCCACCA